rnacentral:tRNA from 1 species
GACUGGAUUGCCCAGUGGUCAAAGGCAGUGCUUCUAGCAAUGAUGAGGUCCCAGGUUUGAAUCCUGGUCUAGUCA